UUCAACAUCCUUCGUCCAAUUGUACUAAUGUAGUGAAUCAUUUAUGUCAGAUAUUUGGACACAUUUCCAUUUAGUAUUGAAUAUAAACAAUAGUAAACACUGUCCUGCUUUUCAUUGCUGUUAUUAAGGUGGUUCCUGAGUGAAAUGUGAGUUUCAUCCUGUGAAGGUUUGUCUGCUGCUCUGAUCCCUUGAUGUGGAGGAAGGAGGCGGGUUCAGCUCAGUAACAGCAGCUGAACUGAAGCUGAACUGAUCAGUCAGAGCUACGAUGAGACCAACAUCUCUAGCAGCUUCACUCUUUCUGACCUUCUUGGUUUCCUGCACAGAGGCUGAAGUCCUCCCAGUUCGUCUGACUGUGAUUCCCAGCAGAUCUCAGUUCUUUAGAGGAGAAUCAGUGACUCUGAUCUGUGAGGAUGGAUGGACUGUGAGGAGAAACACAACCAGAGGAACCAGGACUGAGUGUAAAGAUGGAUGGGGAGAAGCUGAUGGUUCUACCUGUAACAUGAACUACCUCCUCCCAGAG